UACGUAGGUGACAAGCGUUAUCCGGAUUUAUUGGGCGUAAAGCGCACGCAGGCGGCUCUUCAAGUCUGACGUGAAAUCUCUCGGCUUAACGGGGAGCGGUCGUUGGAAACUGAAGGGCUUGAGGCGAUGAGAGGGGUGUGGAAUUCCCGGUGUAGUGGUGGAAUGCGUAGAUAUCGAGAGGAACACCUGCGGCGAAGGCGGGUUGCUGGGCUGAUACUGACGCUGAGGCGCGAAAGCCAGGGGAGCGAACGGG
rnacentral:rRNA from 1 species